UUGUUGGCUUCCCUCCCCUCCUCUUCCAUUCUUUUCCUCCUCUUCUGUUUCUGUGUCUCUGUUUCUGCCAUUCUCUUUAUCUCUCUGUCUCUGUCUCCCUGUCUCUCUCCCUCCCUCCCUCCUCCCCUCCCCCAUCCCUCCUCUCCUUUCCCUGCCACAAAUUGGCUUUUGCCUAUUGUACAUACAGAGCUUUAGUCAUAAGUUAGAGGUAAUGAUCAUUAACCACAUGUUCCAAAUUACAGUAUCAGCUUUGCACAUUCCCCUGUGUAGCAAUCUGGUUUUCUAGCCAUAAGAGAAAGCCGUCGUCGUCACUAGUUUGCAGCAUGUUUGUAAGAAAAAUGAGCAACAGAAGUUCAAAUCAGGCGUCUUAGAGAGUGCAUGAACUGGGAGUGAUUGGAAGUUUCGUUUAAAUAGCAAAUAACAUGCUCCGUGUUCCAAUUUUUGUUGCUGUUGUCCACCACCUCCAUUUCUUUGGGGACUGUAACUCAUUUGAAGAGCUCUGGAGUGGAAAACCCAGGAGCAGACAAGAAUUCUCAGGGAUCUUUUCACUGAUCAUCCCUGUUCUUUCCCUCCAUCCUCCUUGUGGCCAGGAUCUCAUGUUUGUAAGACACCUGGUGAAGGCUUUAACAAGAAACCAGAACAAGCCCCAAUCACAGGAACUAUGGAAAAAAGCUCAAGUAAAGGGAAUUCACCUGAUGUUCUAGAUGCAUUCACCAAGUAAUCUUCACGCAGAUACAUAGACACAUAUGCUUGUACACAUACCCAUUUGGUGGUGAAGAGAAGCAAUGAAAUCAUUUUAAUGUAAAGAAGGGUCUCAUACUUUAGAUGCAGUGAUAUUUGAAUCAUUCUCUAUUCCAGUCUUUUAAUGAAGAAAUCACUCAUAGCACUUACAAAUCCAUGUGAUUAAAUAACUCCACCUUACUGUUGUGCUGAAAAUAACUUAAAUCUUUCCCCUCAUCCUUUGGGUCUUACAGUGGUAGGACUUAGCUAGAGAUGAGUUUUCUUGAAAGAAAUUAGGCUAAUGGAGGCCAGUAUGGAAGCAGGAAGCAAAAACUUCUAUGAAAACUAGACUCUCUGAGACCAGGUAGGGAUAAGUAAAGCUUAAGCUUCUAAAAUCCUUACUGGUUCAAUCGAGACUAUUUACAAGAAUUGAUAAAACUUGUAACAACCAAGGCUUCUAUCAUCUGUCUUUUUAUGUUUAUAAAGCAAAUACACAACAAAAGUAAGAACCUCAUUUUUGAUUUCUUGAUUAAACGCAUUUUCAGUUUAGCUAUAUCCUGCUGCACCCAAGUUGGUAAAAGAAUAGGUUUGACCUUGUGCUAUGAUUUAGUAGUCAUUUAGCUGUAUUUCUGUCAUGUGGAAAUCAGGACAAAGAGAUAGAAUAUUGCAGAGUCCAGUUUCAGUAUUCUAUUAUCACUUCUUUAGUGAUAUAGAGUGAAGUAGUUCUAACUCUGUGACAAUGUAAGGGGUAGAGAGAAGGAUUGCAAAAGAAAAAAAAAGGAAAGUAAAGAAAGACAACCUAAAGAAAAGAUUUCCCUUUAAAAAAAAGCAGUAAAAUUAAAAAUAACUAAAAUUUUAUAGUAUAUAUUGAUAUCUAGACAUAUCUAUGUAUAGAUAUAAAUAUAUAUGUAUAUGAACCAAUGCCUUUUUGAAAAUGUGAAGAUGGAUAUUGGCAAUGCAACUCAAAGUGAGAUAUGGUAAGUAUCUGAGCUUUAAGGGGGAAAAAGUACCUGUUCAAAUAUUAUAUUUGUCACUGACUAAUUAUAUGGCCUAGAGCAGUGAUGGUAAACCUUUUAAAGAUAAAGUGCUAAACCCUACCCCCACCACACACCCCAGAUGGAAUUCUGUACCCUACUAAGAGAACACAUGCCAUGCUUGUCCCUCCACCAAAUGCCAGGUAUGCUCCCCAUUACUCCACACAGGGAAAAGAGAAAGUGUUUCCCAUUGCACUGCUAGGCAGAGAGGGGCUGAAAUAAAGAAUGCCUUCAGUUAGAGUCA
rnacentral:lncRNA from 1 species